GACGAACGCUGGCGGCGUGCUUAACACAUGCAAGUCGAACGGAAAGGCCCUGCUUUUGUGGGGUGCUCGAGUGGCGAACGGGUGAGUAACACGUGAGUAACCUGCCCUUGACUUUGGGAUAACUUCAGGAAACUGGGGCUAAUACCGGAUAGGAGCUCCUGCUGCAUGGUGGGGGUUGGAAAGUUUCGGCGGUUGGGGAUGGACUCGCGGCUUAUCAGCUUGUUGGUGGGGUAGUGGCUUACCAAGGCUUUGACGGGUAGCCGGCCUGAGAGGGUGACCGGACACAUUGGGACUGAGAUACGGCCCAGACUCAUACGGGAGGCAGCAGUGGGGAAUAAUGCACAAUGGGCGGAAGCCUGAUGCAGCAACGCCGCGUGCGGGAUGACGGCCUUCGGGUUGUAAACCGCUUUCGCCUGUGACGAAGCGUGAGUGACGGUAAUGGGUAAAGAAGCACCGACUAACUACGUG
rnacentral:rRNA from 1 species